rnacentral:rRNA from 1 species
CGCGCAGGCGGCGGCGUGGGUCCGGCGUGAAAGCCCCCGGCUCAACCGGGGAAGGUCGUCGGGGACCGCGCCGCUUGAGGGCGGCAGGGGCCGGUGGAAUGCCUGGUGUAGUGGUGAAAUGCGUAGAGAUCAGGCGGAACACCCGUGGCGAAGGCGGCCGGCUGGGCCGUCCCUGACGCUGAGGCGCGAAGGCGUGGGGAGCGAACGGGAUUAGAUACCCCGGUAGUCCACGCAGUAAACGAUGCCGACUGGGCGUGGGGGGAGUUGACCCCCUCCGUGCCGGAGCCAACGCGGGAAGUCGGCCGCCUGGGGAGUACGGCCGCAAGGCUAAA